CUCACAACUACAUUGAAGCCUUGUACCGUCAUUCUAAGCUGCUGUGAAAGUUGAAGGUCUUUAAAGAAGUAAAACUAACCUGUGAUGAAACAUAAAUUAAGCUACAGGCCCAGGACACAGAGGCAGAUUGAGAAGGAGUUUGAGAAGCUUCACCAGUUACUUUGAGAGGACAAGGCAGCCAGACUAGCUACUCUGAAGAAGGAAGAGAAGAACAGUGAGAUGAUUGGGGAGAUGAGCGGAGGGAUAUCAUCACUUUCAGACACAGAGCCGUAGAGAAGGAGCUGAAAGCAGAAGACGUCUCAUUCCUGCAUAACUAUAAGGUGAAAAGCUUCUGUGACUCUGAACCCCAAGACUGCUCACCCAAGUCUCAUCCUGUCUGAGGAUUUGACCAGUGUGAGAUUCGGUGUGGCUCAAAAGCUUCCUGACAUCACAAAGAGGUUUGAUCGUGCAUUUGUCCUGGAUUUUGAGGGCUUUAACUCAGGGACACACUUCUGGGAUGUUGAGGUUGGGGAAAAUGCAUGGGCUCUGGGUGUGAUCACAGAAUCUGCACAGCGUAUACGCAGUGGAUUAUAAUUCUGAAGUGAGUCAGACACCCCAGAGGAUCAGAGUGAAACUGGACUGGGACAGAGGAGAGCUGUCAUUCUCUGAUCCUAAGAAUAAAACACAACUACACACAAUCACACAAACUUUUAAUGAGACAGUCUUUCCUUGCUUCUGUAACUUCUCUAAACGGAAACCUCUAAAGAUCGUGCCAUGACAGUGGAAAAAUAGUUAGAGCUGAUAGUUGCUUACUAUUCAAUGUUGAAUCAACCACCUAGCUACUGCUUGAAAACAAGUUAAGAUAUUAUAGUGACUUGAUCGAUUUGAACGUAACAUUCAAAAACACCUAGUACUCUGCCCUAUACCUUAAAGACAUAGUCAUUGAAUACUAGUCACUUUAAUUAUGCUUACCUACUGUUUUACCCACUUCAUAUGUAUAUACUGUAUUCCAGUUAAGGCUCAUCCUAUAUAACUACUGCUGUACACACCUUUUCUAUUCAUAUACUGACUAUACA